CAGUAGCCACGGGAAUACGAAGGGGGCUAGCGUUGCUCGGAAUGACUGGGCGUAAAGGGCGCGUAGGCGGCGGCCAAAGUCAGGCGUGAAAUUCCCGGGCUCAACCUGGGGGCUGCGUUUGAUACUUGGUUGCUUGAGUGGGGAAGAGGGUCGUGGAAUUCCCAGUGUAGAGGUGAAAUUCGUAGAUAUUGGGAAGAACACCGGUGGCGAAGGCGGCGACCUGGUCCUUUACUGACGCUGAGGCGCGAAAGCGUGGGGAGCAAACAGGAUUAGAUACCCCUGUAGUCCCUGUCUCUUAUAA
rnacentral:rRNA from 1 species